rnacentral:rRNA from 1 species
GUAUUUGGUCGUAGACCCGAAACCAGGUGAUCUACCCUUGGUCAGGUUGAAGUUCAGGUAACACUGAAUGGAGGACCGAACCGACUUACGUUGAAAAGUGAGCGGAUGAACUGAGGGUAGCGGAGAAAUUCCAAUCGAACCUGGAGAUAGCUGGUUCUCUCCGAAAUAGCUUUAGGGCUAGCCUCAAGUGAUGAUUAUUGGAGGUAGAGCACUGUUUGGACGAGGGGCCCCUCUCGGGUUACCGAAUUCAGACAAACUCCGAAUGCCAAUUAAUUUAACUUGGGAGUCAGAACAUGGGUGAUAAGGUCCGUGUUCGAAAGGGAAACAGCCCAGACCACCAGCUAAGGUCCCAAAAUAUAUGUUAAGUGGAAAAGGAUGUGGCGUUGCCCAGACAACUAGGAUGUUGGCUUAGAAGCAGCCAUCAUUUAAAGAGUGCGUAAUAGCUCACUAGUCGAGUGACACUGCGCCGAAAAUGUACCGGGGCUAAACAUAUUACCGAAGCUGUGGAUUGUCCUUUGGACAAUGGUAGGAGAGCGUUCUAAGGGCGUUGAAGCAUGAUCGUAAGGACAUGUGGAGCGCUUAGAAGUGAGAAUGCCGGUGUGAGUAGCGAAAGACGGGUGAGAAUCCCGUCCACCGAUUGACUAAGGUUUCCAGAGGAAGGCUCGUCCGCUCUGGGUUAGUCGGGUCCUAAGCUGAGGCCGACAGGCGUAGGCGAUGGAUAACAGGUUGAUAUUCCUGUACCACCUAUAAUCGUUUUAAUCGAUGGGGGGACGCAGUAGGAUAGGCGAAGCGUGCGAUUGGAUUGCACGUCUAAGCAGUAAGGCUGAGUAUUAGGCAAAUCCGGUACUCGUUAAGGCUGAGCUGUGAUGGGGAGAAGACAUUGUGUCUUCGAGUCGUUGAUUUCACACUGCCGAGAAAAGCCUCUAGAUAGAAAAUAGGUGCCCGUACCGCAAACCGACACAGGUAGUCAAGAUGAGAAUUCUAAGGUGAGCGAGCGAACUCUCGUUAAGGAACUCGGCAAAAUGACCCCGUAACUUCGGGAGAAGGGGUGCUCUUUAGGGUUAACGCCCAGAAGAGCCGCAGUGAAUAGGCCCAAGCGACUGUUUAUCAAAAACACAGGUCUCUGCUAAACCGUAAGGUGAUGUAUAGGGGCUGACGCCUGCCCGGUGCUGGAAGGUUAAGAGGAGUGGUUAGCUUCUGCGAAGCUACGAAUCGAAGCCCCAGUAAACGGCGGCCGUAACUAUAACGGUCCUAAGGUAGCGAAAUUCCUUGUCGGGUAAGUUCCGACCCGCACGAAAGGCGUAACGAUUUGGGCACUGUCUCAACGAGAGACUCGGUGAAAUCAUAGUACCUGUGAAGAUGCAGGUUACCCGCGACAGGACGGAAAGACCCCGUGGAGCUUUACUGUAGCCUGAUAUUGAAAUUCGGCACAGCUUGUACAGGAUAGGUAGGAGCCUUUGAAACGUGAGCGCUAGCUUACGUGGAGGCGCUGGUGGGAUACUACCCUAGCUGUGUUGGCUUUCUAACCCGCACCACUUAUCGUGGUGGGAGACAGUGUCAGGCGGGCAGUUUGACUGGGGCGGUCGCCUCCUAAAAGGUAACGGAGGCGCUCAAAGGUUCCCUCAGAAUGGUUGGAAAUCAUUCAUAGAGUGUAAAGGCAUAAGGGAGCUUGACUGCGAGACCUACAAGUCGAGCAGGGUCGAAAGACGGACUUAGUGAUCCGGUGGUUCCGCAUGGAAGGGCCAUCGCUCAACGGAUAAAAGCUACCCCGGGGAUAACAGGCUUAUCUCCCCCAAGAGUUCACAUCGACGGGGAGGUUUGGCACCUCGAUGUCGGCUCAUCGCAUCCUGGGGCUGUAGUCGGUCCCAAGGGUUGGGCUGUUCGCCCAUUAAAGCGGUACGCGAGCUGGGUUCAGAACGUCGUGAGACAGUUCGGUCCCUAUCCGUCGUGGGCGUAGGAAAUUUGAGAGGAGCUGUCCUUAGUACGAGAGGACCGGGAUGGACAUACCUCUGGUGUACCAGUUGUCGUGCCAACGGCAUAGCUGGGUAGCUAUGUGUGGACGGGAUAAGUGCUGAAAGCAUCUAAGCAUGAAGCCCCCCUCAAGAUGAGAUUUCCCAACUUCGGUUAUAAGAUCCCUCAAAGAUGAUGAGGUUAAUAGGUUCGAGGUGGAAGCAUGGUGACAUGUGGAGCUGACGAAUACUAAUCGAUCGAAGACUUAAUCAA